CGAUACAAACUGGUCGGAAAAGGUAGAGGAUCUCGUCGAUGCUGGAGAAAUCGAUGGAGCCAUUUCUUUGUUAGAAGAAUUAGUCGCAAAGCUAGAAUAUGAGUCCCAAAACUCGUCAAAUUCCCAGCUUCCUCUAUCUACUGCUCUACUGGAAUUAUCGAAGCUCUACUCCACUCAAGGAUUAUCUUUGCGAGCUGACCAAACCCGCUCUAAGGCAUUUCUCAUUAAACAGCAGCAAGAAAAUAGGGAUGUAAAUGCUACCAAGGAGUCAACUGGUGAUGGCAUUUCAGGUAGUCGGGUUUCACAAAGUGAUAACAAGGAUCACGCCAGCUUGCAAAUUGAUGCCUCACAGAAUGAUGAGGAUGAUGAUUGGGAAGCUAUUGCUGAUCGUGCUCCAGAUGAAUUACUUUCCCCACAACACUUGCCAGAAGUGUCUAAAAUUUCUUUGCAAGAUUCGAAAGUUCAAGCCCCCAAGCGACG
rnacentral:misc_RNA from 1 species